rnacentral:rRNA from 1 species
GGCGUAAGCGCGCGUAGGCGGCUAAUUAAGUCAAAUGUGAAAUCCCCGAGCUUAACUUGGGAAUUGCAUUCGAUACUGGUUAGCUAGAGUGUGGGAGAGGAUGGUAGAAUUCCAGGUGUAGCGGUGAAAUGCGUAGAGAUCUGGAGGAAUACCGAUGGCGAAGGCAGCCAUCUGGCCUAACACUGACGCUGAGGUGCGAAAGCAUGGGGAGCAAACAGGAUUAGAUACCCUGGUAGUCCAUGCCGUAAACGAUGUCUACUAGCCGUUGGGGCCUUUGAGGCUUUAGUGGCGCAGCUAACGCGAUAAGUAGACCGCCUGGGGAGUACGGUCGCAAGACUAAAACUCAAAUGAAUUGACGGGGGCCCGCACAAGCGGUGGAGCAUGUGGUUUAAUUCGAUGCAACGCGAAGAACCUUACCUGGCCUUGACAUACUAAGAACUUUCCAGAGAUGGAUUGGUGCCUUCGGGAACUUACAUACAGGUGCUGCAUGGCUGUCGUCAGCUCGUGUCGUGAGAUGUUGGGUUAAGUCCCGCAACGAGCGCAACCCUUUUCCUUAUUUGCCAGCGAGUAAUGUCGGGAACUUUAAGGAUACUGCCAGUGACAAACUGGAGGAAGGCGGAUACGACGUCAAGUCAUCGUGGCCCUUACGGCCAGGGCUACACACGUGCUACUAUGGUCGGUACAAAAGGUUGCUACCUAGCGAUAGGAUGCUAAUCUCAAAAAGCCGAUCGUAUUCCGGAUUGGAGUCUGCAACUCCACUC